rnacentral:rRNA from 1 species
CACUAUCGUUAACUGAAUACAUAGGUUAACGAGGCGAACCGGGGGAACUGAAACAUCUAAGUACCCCGAGGAAAAGAAAUCAACCGAGAUUCCCCCAGUAGCGGCGAGCGAACGGGGAGCAGCCCAGAGUCUGAAUCAGCUUGUGUGUUAGUGGAACGGUCUGGAAAGUCCGACGGUACAGGGUGAUAGUCCCGUACACCAAAAUGCACAGGCUGUGAACUCGAAGAGUAGGGCGGGACACGUGGUAUCCUGUCUGAAUAUGGGGGGACCAUCCUCCAAGGCUAAAUACUCCUGACUGACCGAUAGUGAACCAGUACCGUGAGGGAAAGGCGAAAAGAACCCCGGCGAGGGGAGUGAAAAAGAACCUGAAACCGUGUACGUACAAGCAGUGGGAGCACCUUCGGGUGUGACUGCGUACCUUUUGUAUAAUGGGUCAGCGACUUAUAUUCUGUAGCAAGGUUAACCGUAUAGGGGAGCCGCAGGGAAACCGAGUCUUAACUGGGCGUUAAGUUGCAGGGUAUAGACCCGAAACCCGGUGAUCUAGCCAUGGGCAGGUUGAAGGUUGGGUAACACUAACUGGAGGACCGAACCGACUAAUGUUGAAAAAUUAGCGGAUGACUUGUGGCUGGGGGUGAAAGGCCAAUCAAACCGGGAGAUAGCUGGUUCUCCCCGAAAGCUAUUUAGGUAGCGCCUCGUGAACUCAUCUUCGGGGGUAGAGCACUGUUUCGGCUAGGGGGUCAUCCCGACUUACCAACCCGAUGCAAACUACGAAUACCGAAGAAUGUUAUCACGGGAGACACACGGCGGGUGCUAACGUCCGUCGUGAAGAGGGAAACAACCCAGACCGCCAGCUAAGGUCCCAAAGUCAUGGUUAAGUGGGAAACGAUGUGGGAAGGCACAGACAGCCAGGAUGUUGGCUUAGAAGCAGCCAUCAUUUAAAGAAAGCGUAAUAGCUCACUGGUCGAGUCGGCCUGCGCGGAAGAUGUAACGGGGCUAAACCAUGCACCGAAGCUGCGGCAGCGACACUAUGUGUUGUUGGGUAGGGGAGCGUUCUGUAAGCCUGCGAAGGUGUGCUGUGAGGCAUGCUGGAGGUAUCAGAAGUGCGAAUGCUGACAUAAGUAACGAUAAAGCGGGUGAAAAGCCCGCUCGCCGGAAGACCAAGGGUUCCUGUCCAACGUUAAUCGGGGCAGGGUGAGUCGACCCCUAAGGCGAGGCCGAAAGGCGUAGUCGAUGGGAAACAGGUUAAUAUUCCUGUACUUGGUGUUACUGCGAAGGGGGGACGGAGAAGGCUAUGUUAGCCGGGCGACGGUUGUCCCGGUUUAAGCAUGUAGGCUGAUUGUCCAGGCAAAUCCGGAUAAUCAAGGCUGAGGUGUGAUGACGAGGCACUACGGUGCUGAAGUAACAAAUGCCCUGCUUCCAGGAAAAGCCUCUAAGCAUCAGGUAACAUCAAAUCGUACCCCAAACCGACACAGGUGGUCAGGUAGAGAAUACCAAGGCGCUUGAGAGAACUCGGGUGAAGGAACUAGGCAAAAUGGUGCCGUAACUUCGGGAGAAGGCACGCUGGUGUGUAGGUGAAGUCCCUGCGGAUGGAGCUGAGACCAGUCGAAGAUACCAGCUGGCUGCAACUGUUUAUUAAAAACACAGCACUGUGCAAACACGAAAGUGGACGUAUACGGUGUGACGCCUGCCCGGUGCCGGAAGGUUAAUUGAUGGGGUUAUCCGUAAGGAGAAGCUCUUGAUCGAAGCCCCGGUAAACGGCGGCCGUAACUAUAACGGUCCUAAGGUAGCGAAAUUCCUUGUCGGGUAAGUUCCGACCUGCACGAAUGGCGUAAUGAUGGCCAGGCUGUCUCCACCCGAGACUCAGUGAAAUUGAACUCGCUGUGAAGAUGCAGUGUACCCGCGGCAAGACGGAAAGACCCCGUGAACCUUUACUAUAGCUUGACACUGAACAUUGAGCCUUGAUGUGUAGGAUAGGUGGGAGGCUUUGAAGCGUGGACGCCAGUCUGCGUGGAGCCAACCUUGAAAUACCACCCUUUAAUGUUUGAUGUUCUAACGUUGGCCCCUGACCGGGGUUGCGGACAGUGUCUGGUGGGUAGUUUGACUGGGGCGGUCUCCUCCCAAAGCGUAACGGAGGAGCACGAAGGUUAGCUAAUCCUGGUCGGACAUCAGGAGGUUAGUGCAAUGGCAUAAGCUAGCUUGACUGCGAGCGUGACGGCGCGAGCAGGUGCGAAAGCAGGUCAUAGUGAUCCGGUGGUUCUGAAUGGAAGGGCCAUCGCUCAACGGAUAAAAGGUACUCCGGGGAUAACAGGCUGAUACCGCCCAAGAGUUCAUAUCGACGGCGGUGUUUGGCACCUCGAUGUCGGCUCAUCACAUCCUGGGGCUGAAGUAGGUCCCAAGGGUAUGGCUGUUCGCCAUUUAAAGUGGUACGCGAGCUGGGUUUAGAACGUCGUGAGACAGUUCGGUCCCUAUCUGCCGUGGGCGCUGGAGAAUUGAGGGGGGCUGCUCCUAGUACGAGAGGACCGGAGUGGACGCAUCACUGGUGUUCGGGUUGUCAUGCCAAUGGCACUGCCCGGUAGCUAAAUGCGGAAGAGAUAAGUGCUGAAAGCAUCUAAGCACGAAACUUGCCCCGAGAUGAGUUCUCCCUGAGACU